rnacentral:rRNA from 1 species
CCUAGGGUGGCAGCAGUGGGGAAUAUUGGACAAUGGGGGCAACCCUGAUCCAGCCAUGCCGCGUGUGUGAAGAAGGCCCUCGGGUUGUAAAGCACUUUCAGUGAGGAAGAACGCCUGGUGGUUAAUACCCAUCAGGAAAGACAUCACUCACAGAAGAAGCACCGGCUAACUCCGUGCCAGCAGCCGCGGUAAUACGGAGGGUGCGAGCGUUAAUCGGAAUUACUGGGCGUAAAGCGCGCGUAGGUGGCUUGAUAAGCCGGUUGUGAAAGCCCCGGGCUCAACCUGGGAACGGCAUCCGGAACUGUCAAGCUAGAGUGCAGGAGAGGAAGGUAGAAUUCCCGGUGUAGCGGUGAAAUGCGUAGAGAUCGGGAGGAAUACCAGUGGCGAAGGCGGCCUUCUGGACUGACACUGACACUGAGGUGCGAAAGCGUGGGUAGCAAACAGGAUUAGAUACCCGGGUAGUC